CCUACGGGUGGCAGCAGUGGGGAAUAUUGCACAAUGGGGGAAACCCUGAUGCAGCGACGCCGCGUGAGUGAAGAAGGAAUUCGUUAUGUAAAGCUCUAUCAGCAGGGAAGAAAAUGACGGUACCUGAGUAAUAAGCCCCGGCUAACUACGUGCCAGCAGGCGCGGUAAUACGUAGGGGGCCAGCGUUAUCCGGAUUUACUGGGUGUAAAGGGAGCGUAGACGGCAGAGCAAGUCUGUAGUGAAAGGCGGGGGCUCAACCCCCGGACUGCAAUUGAAACUGUAAGGCUGGAGUGCAGGAGAGGUAAGUGGAAUUCGUGGUGUAGCGGUGAAAUGCGUAGAUAUUAGGAGGAACACCAGUGGCGAAGGCGGCUUACUGAACUGUAACUGACGUUGAGGCUCGAAAGCGUGGGGAGCAAACAGGAUUAGAUACCCGUGUAGUC
rnacentral:rRNA from 1 species